rnacentral:rRNA from 1 species
GAGUUUGAUCCUGGCUCAGGAUGAACGCUGGCGGCGUGCCUAACACAUGCAAGUCGAACGGAAUUUACAUGAAGCCUAGCGAUUGUAAAUUUAGUGGCGGACGGGUGAGUAACGCGUGGGUAACCUGCCUUGUACUGGGGGACAACAGUUGGAAACGACUGCUAAUACCGCAUAAGCGCACAGCUUCGCAUGAAGCAGUGUGAAAAACUCCGGUGGUACAAGAUGGACCCGCGUCUGAUUAGCUGGUUGGUGAGGUAACGGCCCACCAAGGCGACGAUCAGUAGCCGGCCUGAGAGGGUGAACGGCCACAUUGGGACUGAGACACGGCCCAAACUCCUACGGGAGGCAGCAGUGGGGAAUAUUGCACAAUGGGGGAAACCCUGAUGCAGCAACGCCGCGUGAGUGAAGAAGUAUUUCGGUAUGUAAAGCUCUAUCAGCAGGAAAGAAAAUGACGGUACCUGACUAAGAAGCCCCGGCUAACUACGUGCCAGCCGCCGCGGUAAUUC